AUUGAACGCUGGCGGCAGGCCUAACACAUGCAAGUCGAGCGAGCGGCGGACGGGUGAGUAAUGUCUGGGAAACUGCCUGAUGGAGGGGGAUAACUACUGGAAACGGUAGCUAAUACCGCAUACCAUCAGAUGUGCCCAGAUGGGAUUAGCUAGUAGGUGGGGGAACGGCUCACCUAGGCGACGAUCCCUAGCUGGUCUGAGAGGAUGACCAGACACACUGGAACUGAGGCACGGCCCAGACUCUGACGUGAGGAAGCAGUGGGGAAUAUGGAAAAAGGGGCGCAAGCCUGAUGCAGCCAUGCCGCGUGUAGGAAGAAGGCCUUCGGUUUGUAAAGUACUUUCAGCGGGGAGGCGUUACCCGCAGAAGAAGCACCGGCUAACUCCGUGCCAGCAGCCGCGGUAAUAC
rnacentral:rRNA from 1 species